CAGGCCCACCCCAAGGUGCACAGUGGUGCAUGGGACAAACCCGGCUACACCUGGGCUUUGGGAAUCCUCUUCCCACCGGGGACCAGGGCAGGGUGUCCAAGGAGCACCCAAGGUGCUGCAGAGCAGUCAGACAAGCCCCAACCCUAAUAAAUGAUUAUCCACCUACAUGAAAGAGGCUGGGUUUUUGCUGACACUUUCUUGCUGGGAAUUGAAUGCUGCCUGAAUCAUCCAUCCAGGGCCAUUUGUUCAUAAAACUGUUCCAAGCUGCUCUGCUGUGCCCGUAUCCAACCUGUAUCUCAAGUUCAUCAAAUAUAAAGAACAAAUAAUUGUCACUGGAUGUCUUGUAAUAAAAAUAGCUUUAGUGAAAAGGAAACGGGAUGAAGAUGGAUUAAACCUUAACUGUGGGGAAACCAGCCUCCACCCCAAAUAAAGCAGCUCCUCCUCUGCAUCACGGAUGACUUCAAGCUGCACCUCUGUGAGCAUCGCCAGCCUGCUGCCCUGGGGACAUCACACAGAGCCAGCAUCCAGCUUGAGAAGGCUCCUUGCAGAGGAGGAACGUGCUCAGGGGCCGGUCCCACCCUCCAAGGUUGGCUGUGGGUGUCUGGCCAGCAGGAGUGGAGCUGAAAGACCCUUUCUGUGCCUUGGAGUUGGGAGAAGGAAGAGAAAGGAAACGGCUGAGAGAGAGACUUCAAAGUACGUGAGCAAAUAUUUACAGGUUCCAAG